UACACCUAACAUAGUUUUUCCGAACCUGUUUUUCAGAAUAAAGAUAUCUUUUCGUGAAAGCAUCAAAAAUGGAUUCUUACACUGAGAAAGCGGCCUUCUUUUGCCGUGCAUAUGAUGAGGACAGCCAGGGCAUCUUAUGCACCCCUGAAGUAGUCCCAUCCACCGCAUCUGUAUCAGUUCAGAAUGUAUAUCCUUCUCAGACCGUAAUCUGGCCAGGGAGCGGACUGUUUGAAGCAGGUGACGAAGCAAUACUAGACAGCGUUUUGGAUUACGAGAACGAGAGUGGACUUCUAUCUCUAUCUGAAAUUAAUACAACAGACAGGCCCGAGACACCUCCAACUAACGGUAAGAAGAAGAAGAAAAGAAAAAAAAAAGUAUAAAUUUUAAAUAAAUAAGUAAAAUAAAUCUAAACCCGUCUCUCUCCAUUUUGUAGAGUGCAGACCAGAACCUGCUCACAAGGUGGACAAGGCUACUUGUACCAGCGAAGACGGUGUCUACCCGCUACUCGUCAUACCCGACUCGCCAGAAAAGCAAGGCAGACAACCGGCUAACACUAAAGAAGCUGACACUGACGGAGGACCAUCUGGAUCCAAAAUUAGCAUACCAGAAGCACCAGAGAAAGCAGUGACUGACGACUCCAGGCCAUACCCCAGACUGAAGCAUUCCACUAGAAGAAGCGGCAG